GAUGAACGCUGGCGGCGUGCUUAACACAUGCCAGUCGAACGAUGAAGCCCAGCUUGCUGGGUGGAUUAGUGGCGAACGGGUGAGUAACACGUGAGUAACCUGCCCUUGACUCUAGGAUAAGCCCGGGAAACUGGGUCUAAUACUGGAUAUGAACGUCUACCGCAUGGUGGGUGUUGGAAAGAAUUUCGGUCAUGGAUGGACUCGCGGCCUAUCAGCUUGUUGGUGAGGUAAUGGCUCACCAAGGCGACGACGGGUAGCCGGCCUGAGAGGGUGACCGGCCACACUGGGACUGAGACACGGCCCAGACUCCUACGGGAGGCAGCAGUGGGGAAUAUUGCACAAUGGGCGAAAGCCUGAUGCAGCGACGCCGCGUGAGGGAUGACGGCCUUCGGGUUGUAAACCUCUUUCAGUAGGGAAGAAGCGAAAGUGACGGUACCUGCAGAAGAAGCACCGGCUAACUACGUG
rnacentral:rRNA from 1 species